rnacentral:tRNA from 1 species
CAGAGCAUAGCUCAACCAGGAGAGCACCUCUUUUACACUGAGAAGAUAUCUGUGCAAAUCGGAUUGCCCUGA